GCCAAACAGAACCUUAUUAAACAAUCAAUAAGAUAACAUACACAGAAGUACUUCCCCAUCAGUUUUCUGUGUGAGCCUUUGAUGAUCUUUAAUGUCAAGAAGAUUUCCCAUGCGCCACGGACAGCUUUGUUUCUUAUACAACCUUGGACUACCUGCCCAGGGCUGGCACCACCCACAGUGGAUUGGGCUCCCUCACAUCAAUUGUUAAUCAAGACAAUGUCCCACAUACUUGCCUAUAGAUGAAUAUGGUGGAAGCAGUUCCUCAAGGAUCACUCUUCCCAGAUGACUGUGGUGUCUAGUUGAUAAAAAUUAGCUGGUAUACAUCCAUCAUAGCAGUCUCCCAGGAAUCUUCAGAGUUUAGAAAAAUACUACUGAGAAAGAGGUGGUCUUUUCAGAGAUAAGAAGGCCUUCCAGAUCUGUCAUUCCUUGGGAGAAAAGUCUUUGCAGGUAUUAUAAUAACUCUCAAAUAUACAGGAGGAAGAAGACAGUGUGGUUCAUUAGAUUCUAUACUUUGCAUGAAACCCAGUGCAUCACAUCAUCAGUUCCUUUGUGAGCAUUGGACAGAAAUUCCUAAGCAGUGCUUGUGUACAAUUUUAUGAACAAACCUGCAAAAUUAUGAACAGUAUCUUGAAGGAAGCCUGGGAUAAACAGAACAUGGAACCAGCCUGUACCUUUCUUCACCCUCCACGUCUGAAUUAAGUUUUCCUUUCCUUCAUCUGGGUAGGAAUUGCUGUCACCUAGCAAGAGUCAUCAGGAUGCUCCAGUCUUCCAUGUACAGAACAGUCAAGUGCACAUCCCAAUUCUCCAGUGGCAUCUAGACUCUCCAAGAGGGACAAUUAUGGAAUUGUCAGUAGUGGGAUGAGGCCUCUCUCCAAAGCAGCUCAGCUUUCUCAGUCCCCAAAGCUCUGCAUUGGACCUCACAAUCCUCUUUGUUCCAACCGAACACCUGGCAGAGAUAUAGUUAAUGAUGCUCCCUUUUGGAGUUUAUUAAUUCCAUAAGCCUCUAUUUGUGAAUGGCUGCAAUAAAGAACAAACAUAAAAGUGAGAAUCGACAGAUGGGGCACUACUCCUUUGAUGUCACACUCAGAUUAAACAGGCAAGUCUUGGGAACAGCUUUCCAAAUUAGGGCAGCCAGCCCUUGUGGGAGAAGGUACUAGGGAGCAGAGUAAGGCCUGUUUUGCAGGCUCCCGCCAAGGCAGAGCUUGUACCCAAUCUCUAGGGACUUGUUGAAAGAAAAACCAGAUCUAAUCAUAUCUUGAAUAUAAAAAUGGGGUCUGUUUUAGACCUUCUGAAUAUCAAGAUAGGUUUCUUAAGGGCAUAUGAGACUAACUUUUAUAGAGAUCUGAAGUUUUGUAAUUCUUUCUUUUUCCCUCCUCCUCUCUCCCAGCUCUCUCUCUCUCUCUCUCUCUCUCUCUCUCUCUCUCUCUCUCUCUCUCUCUGUGUGUGUGUGUGUGUGUGCAUACACCUGGAAGCUCAUAUGCAAUGCCCCCCCCACAAAGACAGAGACAGAGACACACAGACAGAUACACACACAGAGAUAUUAAAGGCACAGAGAGACAAAGACAGACAGACAGACAGAUGCAUGUGUGCAUGUACGCACACACAUGGCUUGAAAACAACAUCAAGGAUGGUAGAGGGAACUUUCUGUGUCAUCGUUAGGGUGUGGUUUGCUUCCACAUCUGGAGGACUUUAUCUUCUGUAAAGAAUUCUUGGGACUAGUCAUGGGACUCAC
ensembl:lncRNA